rnacentral:rRNA from 1 species
UACGGAGGGUGCAAGCGUUAUCCGGAUUUACUGGGUUUAAAGGGUGCGUAGGCGGCUUUUUAAGUCAGUGGUGAAAGACAACAGCUCAACUGUUGCAGUGCCAUUGAUACUGAAGAGCUUGAGUACAGAUGAGGUAGGCGGAAUUUAUGGUGUAGCGGUGAAAUGCAUAGAUACCAUAAAGAACACCUAUUGCGAAGGCAGCUUACUAAGCUGUAACUGACGCUGAGGCACGAAAGUGUGGGGAUCAAACAGG